rnacentral:tRNA from 1 species
UCGAGUGAAGUUUUUUAAAACUAUGGUCUUUCAAAAAGACCACAGCAGGACCACCAACCCAAA